rnacentral:rRNA from 1 species
AGCAGCCGCGGUAAUUCCAGCUCCAAUAGCGUAUAUUAAAAGUUGUUGCAGUUAAAAGCUCGUAGUUGAACUUCGGGAUCAAUGGAUUGGUCAUGCCGAUGGUGUGUACUGGUCAUAUUGGUUCUCACCUUCUAAGGAACCAUAAUGUCAUUUAUUUGAUGUUGGUGGGGAAUUAGGACUGUUACCUUGAAAAAAAUUAGAGUGUUUAAAGCAGGCUAACGCUUGAAUACAUUAGCAUGGAAUAAUGAAAUAGGACAUCGCAUUCUAUUUUGUUGGUUUCUAGGAUCGAUGUAAUGAUUAAUAGGGAUAGUUGGGGGCAUUAGUAUUCAAUUGUCAGAGGUGAAAUUCUUGGAUUUAUUGAAGACUAACUACUGCGAAAGCAUUUUGCCAAGGAUGUUUUCAUUAAUCAAGAACGAAAGUUAGGGGAUCGAAGACGAUCAGAUACCGUCGUAGUCUUAACCAUAAACUAUGCCGACUAGGGAUCGGAUGAUGUUGAUUUCUUUAAUGACUCAUUCGGCAC